AAGACUCUCGGCAACGGCCAUCUCGGCUCUUGCAUCGAUGAAGAACGUAGCGAAAUGCGAUACUUGGUGUGAAUUGCAGAAUCCCGUGAACCAUCGAGUCUUUGAACGCAAGUUGCGCCCGAAGCCAUUAGGCUGAGGGCACGCCUGCCUGGGUGUUGCACAU
rnacentral:rRNA from 1 species